UGACCGCUGGCGGCAGGCCUACCACAUGCAAGUCGAGCGGAUGAAGGGAGCUUGCUCCUGGCUUCAGCGGCGGACGGGUGAGUAAUGCCUAGGAAUCUGCCUGGUAGUGGGGGAUAACGUCCGGAAACGGGCGCUAAUACCGCAUACGUCCUGAGGGAGAAAGUGGGGGAUCUUCGGACCUCACGCUAUCAGAUGAGCCUAGGUCGGAUUAGCUAGUUGGUGGGGUAAAGGCCUACCAAGGCGACGAUCCGUAACUGGUCUGAGAGGAUGAUCAGUCACACUGGAACUGAGACACGGUCCAGACUCCUACGGGAGGCAGCAGUGGGGAAUAUUGGACAAUGGGCGAAAGCCUGAUCCAGCCAUGCCGCGUGUGUGAAGAAGGUCUUCGGAUUGUAAAGCACUUUAAGUUGGGAGGAAGGGCAGUAAGUUAAUACCUUGCUGUUUUGACGUUACCAACAGAAUAAGCACCGGCUAACUUCGUG
rnacentral:rRNA from 1 species